CUACCUAGGGGGGGUCGUUAAGUAGCAAUAUCCAAUCCACGUUCUUGUUCCUAUCUACGUUUGAUUUUUCUUUUUUUUUCUUUUCUUAUAAUUUUGUGCAUGCCACCAUAAGAUAUUAUUAUAUUUAAAAAAAGCUAUUUGUACAUUUACAUAUAAAUAUAAAUUUUACAUCUUUAAAUGUUAUUUAAUUUAGAGUUUAUAAUUUUAGUAUUAAAAUGAAAUGUUAGAUACUCUUUUGAGCUUUUAGUAAAAACAUAAAGAAUUUACUUAUUUAUUUAUCUAUUUUUUUGUGGACGAAAAAAGAGAGCACGCCCUUCGCCUAACCUAUAGAGCUCGAUAGGGAUGCAACAAAAACACGAGGUCCCAAUCUUCGCCAAUAAAUCACUUAUGGCUUGUUUGGUUCCAUCAUUAAGAUAGAUUGUUCGUUAAGCCGUGACGGGAAUCGAGAUAUUGAUUUUUUUUUUAAGUAGAUAUUACGUUCUAUUUAUUGUAAUUGGAGUUCAUACAGAAGUGUUAAUUGUACAUAUGGAGCUAGCUAAUGAAAAGGCGCUAAUUUUGGAUUUUAACAUUGAAAAAUAUCUGACGAACCAUUAGCUGAGGCAAAGAUAAUACGUGGCAGCGGAUCGGAGUUUCCGCAAUAACGUCGUUGGGGAGCUCCUCACUCAAGUUUUGCCCGCGAUCGUGACUUGCUUUCCAAAUCGUAUGUGGAAAUUUUAAAUUAGCACAUUGUCGCCUAAAAAAAAAAAAGCUAGAAAAAAAAAUAAAAUCUUGUUGAUUAAAAAUUGAUAGAUUGCAAUGGUUGAAGCUUCAAGCAAUUAUACUUGGAUUAUCUGCUGUGGCUUGACCUCUCAAAAAAAAAAANCUGUAUUUUAAAGUAUAUCACUUUCGUACUCUGUAAUUUUAUUUUUCUCUUUUUGUUAUUCUCUCCACUAAUUUUUUUUGUUAAAUCACUGACAAAAUUAAAACAAAAGAGUACUAAAAUGAAUAAUCGAUAAACUAUAGGUAGGAUAUCAGAAGUUUUUUUGUACAUAAUUUAACAAAAAGUUAACGGAAGGCUGGUGAAAAGAGAAAAAUAAAACUAUAGGGUACUAAAUUGAUACACUUUAAACCACAGAUUGCUAAACUGAGAAAGUGCGAAACUAUAUGAGCGAUAUUUAAAGUUUAUCAAAAAAAAAAAAAAUGAUACGUUCCGACUGCUUGACUCGAGCCGAAUUUGGAAGGAUGGAUUCGAUCGACUUUCAGCUGGAAUGGAAAAAAAUUCAGGACCUAAAGAAAUGUCUGCCAAAACAACCCUCGGAGGAAGUUUCGGCCAGACAAGACGAAAAUAUAACUAUCAGAUUUUAAUUGUUACCAAAGUUACCGAAAACUACUACUAGUUUUGACUGAGAAUAAAACAAAUAAAGCUGUCGUACUCUCUCGAAUAGAAUAGAAAAAUUAAUCCAACUAUAGAAUAGGUCCCAAAAAAUCAAGAUUCUUUAUCUUUCCUAACCAAAAGUAGAAGAUCAUCCUCUCGGCUAUAACACAUCAACCAAAAUAUCGGAGUAACACAUUUAUAUUUUUUUUAUUAGUGCUUUUUAGUAUUCUUUAUCUGUGGAAUAGUUGACUUAUAUAUGCUUUACCUCAAUUGAUUAAGGAAGCACCAAAUGAACUGCAAAUUGUAGAAAUACACGUAGCAGCGAUAGAUUCAGCUGCAGUUGUUAUAAAUAUAUAUUAGCACCUAAAGUGUUACUACUUUUCUUUUAUAUAUAUAAUAGGAAAAUAUUAAUUUUAUUUUUUUGAUGUUAAAAAAAAAAACAAAACAUUUUGGCAGUGCAUGAGACUCCCUCGCGCACACGUCACCUCAACGAGGCAGGUCCUGCCACGUGUCAGCCAUCUCGAGCCCACCCAUUAUUCACUAUUCAAUUUCAAACAAAAAAAAAAGGAAAAAAAAAAUUGAAAUAUCACCACUAUAGUUUUAUAUUUUUUUUCAUUUUAAUAUUUUGUGGUUUAAAAUGUAUUAAUUUAGUACCUUAUAAUUUCACACUUUUUUAUUUUAGUACUAUAUGAUUUAAAAUACAUUAAUUUAGUAUCCUGUGAUUUUAUUUUAUUUUUUUCGUCGGCUCCUCUGUUAAUAUUUUGUUAAAUUAUAUAUCAAAAAAACUUCAGAUACUCUACUUAAUUUUAUCAAAUAUUUAUUUUAGUAUAUUUUAGUAUUAACUUUGUCACUGAUUUUUUCUUUUCUCCGUUAAUAUUUCGUUAAAUUAUAUAAAAACUUCAGAUUCUCUAUUUAGAUUUAUGGAAUAUUCACUUUAAUACUCUUUAAUUUUAACUUUAUCACUAAUUUAACAAAAAAAAUAAGUAAAAUAAAUAAUAAAAAGAAAAAAAAUAAAACUAUAAUAUACUAACUUAAUAUACUUUAAAAGAGAAUUACAAGGGGUAUUUAAAAUUUACCCAAAAAAAAAGGGAGGCAAAUGCAACGCUUGUACACGUGGGCAUGGGCCCAAAAAGUGGAACCCACUCCGCAAAAUUACUCAGCAAUUAAGUAAAAAAAAAAAAAAAAAAAACCAUUAAAAAUAAUAAUAAGAAACAAUAAUUCCACUCUUUUCCACGUCACCAAGGGAAAGAAAAAAAAACGUAACGCGCAAGCAAACCCUGCGCCUCCGCACCACCCCCACUCACACUUUCUCCUCUCUCUCUCCUCUCUCUCUCUCUCUCUCUACUCCACACACAAAAAGUAUGACGUAAAUUGACCCCAUUUUUUAAUAAUUUUAAUAUUAAUAAAAAAAAGGUAAGAUAAAUAUCUCAAAAAUCCCGCCACUCUCUCCCGUUUCUCUCACCCGAAACUCGGCGAUUCGUUCGGAAUCGACUCAAGGGCAAUUCCGUCAUUUGGAAAAAGAGAAAAAAAAAAUGGAAGGGAAAAAAAAAAAGAAAAAGAAAAAGGAGAGAGAGAAGGAAAAUUAAACGGCGGCGAUCUCCUGGGCGAAAACGUCCGCGUCGAACUCCCCAAACUCGGCCUCCCAGAAGUGCCGCUGGGGGCCGUAGAAGUCCGUUAGAUGGAACGGAGCGGGAAACGGCGUUUCGAGGGGGAGGGGGAAGCCGAGGCCGAAGCCGAAGGGGUCCGUUUCGCCGUCCAGGAAGGGGGCGAACGGCGCCGUCGUCCCCUCCUCCGUGUAACGGAGCACCGAGGUCGGGGAGCGGUUGGACGCGGCGUCGCCGUUGGAGGGGGCGGCGUCGUUAGGGUUGGGGUUGGGGUUGGGGUUAGGGUUAGGGUUAGGGCUAGUGGAGGGGGGAUCGGGGGCGGGGAAGUUGGUGACGGCGUUGGGGCCCUUGAGGCGGAUCGCGGCGCUGUCGUAGACGGUGGCGGCCUCCUCCGCGGUGUCGAACGUGCCGAGCCAAACGCGCUUCCGCUGCGUCGGAUCGCGGAUCUCCGCCGCCCACCGCCCCCACGGCCGCCGCCGCACCCCGCGGAAGCGCUUCUCGCCGCCGCCGCCGCCGCCGCAUCCCUCCUCCGCCUCCUUCUCCAGCGGCCUCGAAACCUUAACCCCCCUGCGCCGCGGCACGGGCGCCGGCGCGGGCGGGGCGGGGGCGACGCCGAUCUCGAUCUCGCGCACGUGCCUCCGGACGCGGCGCCGGCGCCGCCACCGCCGCCGCGGCAACAGGCGCCGGGGCUCGUCGUCCCCGGAGGAGGAGUCGGUGGCGUCGGGGUCGGCGACGUAGAUGCGCACGAUCCGCGGCGCGCUCCGCGAUCUCCCCGCGGAUCGGAUCGUCUUCCUCAGCGCGACCACGUGAUCGGAGAACUCCGCCUCGUCGCGCCCCAUCCCCGAACAACGGCUCGGAUCCAUCACUCCAAGCCGCAGUUCGAUCGAUCCCGAGCUACCACUCUCCGAUUCAUCAAAAUCCACGCAAAUCGCAGGUAAUCCCCCUUCGUUUCGAUCCCAAAAUCGCAAAAAAUAUAGAUCGAAAUUAGGGUUUAAACCCGGGUUUUAGUUGAGAAGAACGGGGCGUAGAGAGAGAGAGAGAGAGAGAGAGAGAGAGAGAGAGAGAGAGAGAGCGGAGAGGAGAGAGAAAAGAAUUGCAGGAGAAAAACGAGGGAAAGGUCGAACGGAGCAGCGGUAUUUAAGGUCAAGUCUCUGAGACCUCCUCACUGCAAUCUUUUUUUCACCAUUACCCAUUUUAUCCCGCCAGCUGUCACUGCUGACGUGGCGUAAUGAUAAUUUACUCAGCCCGCGAAAUUCCCAAAUUGUCAUUGGCACCGAAAUCUACGGACACGUGGUCGGACAUCGUCCGUAGAUUUCGAGACGGACGGUGCAGGGCGUUGGAACAUCCGGUGCAGCACCUGCCACUCCCAGCGCCACUGCCACUGCUGUUUGCAGUGGUGUCAGAGCAAUUACUUAGCACGUCCGAGGGCAAUUCGGUAAUUUCGUAUCCCGGGAGCUAAGCUCCACGGCAUAACCGUAGGGGUAAUUUCGUAAUUCACAUGCACGCCACCGGCCACAGUGUAGCCACAGAGCGGCAGUGACAUGCCGUUACCAUGUUCUCAACUUUUCUAAAAUUUUAAAAUACUAUAAAUGUUAUCAAUAUUUUUUUUUAACUAUCUAAAAUUAUCACUAACUAAUACUAACCCAAAUAUAUAAAAUGAUCACCAACAUACACAUAAGAGCAGUGAGCACGAUUAAUUACCGAUUUACUAUAAACAAUAAAAAAAAAGUCAAAAUAGUUAUUUAAAGUAAAAUGCAGUGAACUAAUCUGCCCAAAAAAUAUAUUUACAUAUUUUUUAAAUUUUUUAUACGUAAUAAUAUUUCAAAAUUUGACUAGGUAUAUAGAAUCCCACUGUUUUAUUAUUGGUCUACUAAGUUGUUUUCAAUAGUGUAAUUUUUCAAUGGACGAUCGAUUCCGUUAAACUUAAUCUACACUAUUUAAAGUAUUUAAAAACUAAAUUUAAUAAUAUUUCGAUAUUAUUUACCUAUUAAACGAGUAAUCUAAAAAUGAAAGACUCGAAAUAAAAAUCUCAUAAAAAAUAAUGAUAAAAAAUUUGNCGGGCAUAAAAUGAACGGUCAAAAUCGAACGACGUUCUAAAAAAGGAUGAUCGGAUCCUUCAAUUCAAGAUCGGAGUUAUUGAUCUUUAUCUAUGUAGUAAAUAGAAUUUUCUAUCAAAAAUUCAACAAAUUUCGAUUCUUUUACACCGUUAAACUAGCAAGUAUCCCAUACGACCGUUAAAAAUUGUCAAAUUUGUGACCUCUUGAUCGUAAGGUAAAUGAUAUUGAAAAUUUAUAAAAUUUGAUUUCUAGAAGUUUUAAAUAUUGUAAAUAACGUUUAACGGUGUGGAUCGUCGAUUCGGAAGCUUUAUCAUUGAAAACAACUUAUGAGUACGAGCGCGAUCGUACUCAUAAUAGUAUAGUAGCCGGACCCUAUAUAUAUAUAUAUAUAUAUAUAUAUACUUAUUUACCUCUAAAAAGUUUCCGACUUUUCGAUUUAUUCCUUUUAGAAGGCUAAUAUUGAAAAUACCCUCUUUACGUUCUAACCGAUUUCUAAUAUACCCCUAGAGUUAAAAUCUGUUAAUUAACUAUGUUAAUUCUGUAAAAUUACUAUUUUGCCCUUUCAAAUAUAUACCCUUCCACCAUCACUGACUUUCUUAUCGGCCCUUAAAGUCAAGAGCACAAAAGUAUUUUGACUUUUGGUCUUUUCCAAUAUACCCCUUUACUGUCACCAACAUUUCUUAUCUGUCCUUAAGUUAAGUACAAAAUUGAUAUUUUAAUUUUUUCUAACUGUGGUAGAUAUUUAAUUCAUGUUUAAUCCAAGUUAACUUAACAGAAGAUAACUGCGGAAGUAUUUAUAAUAACGGUAAAACAUACGAAGAAUAUUUUAGAAAAAAAAAGGAUAAAAAUAAAUUGAAUAUUUUUACACGUACGAAAAAUGUGUAGGCAAUUAUUUCUAUAUAUAAAUAAAAAGGGCUUUUUUCGAAAAUAACCCUGUAAAAUUUUGUAUUUGCCAAACUAAUCCUGUGAAAUUUUUAUUUGUGAAACUAACCCUCCUCUCGCCACGUGGGCGCUACGUCAGGGAUUCCUCAAAAAGACGGUGAAUCGUUCACUGUCUUUGAUAUUUGUUGUGAAGGCGGUGAAUGGUUCACCGUCUUCAUAAGACGGUGAACCAUUCACCGUCUUUAGUACAAAUCCCUACACUGCGCAAAUCUUUCCAAGUCCAUCCAUAAUAUGGUGUUCUUGAUAAGACGGUAAAUCGUUCCCCGUCUUCUCGAGGGCACAGAAAAGGCAGACUUGAGAGGACGGAAAGGGAAAAAGACGGAAAGGAAAAUUUUGCACUAAAGGCAGUGAAUGGUUUACCGUCUUCUAAAGACGGUGAACCAUUCACCGCUUUUAAACAAAAAUUACAAAGACGGUGAACGAUUCACCGUCUUUUUGAGGAAUCCCUGACGUGGCGCCCACGUGGCGAAAGGAGGAUUAGUUUUACAAAUAAAAAUUUCACGAAAUUAGUUUUGCAAAUACGAACUUUCACAAAAUUAUUUUCGAAAAAAGUCCAAAUAAAAACUCAAUACUAAUACGAUCGCCGUAACCGGCGGGAGAAUUAAAGGACACAGUAGAUUUUUGUAAGGGGAAGGGGUAGUUUCGUCAUUUGGACGCUCGGGCGUCAGAGGCGGCCACGGCGAGACGUUAGCGUGGUGGGGUAACCACGUGGACGGGCACGUGCGCGGUGGUGAGAGGGCGUGAGCACGCUCGGAGAUUAUUAUUGGUCGGCCUCACGCGAGUGGAGGAGCAAGAAAAUUUUUCUUAACGCUUUCACCGAGAGCGUGACAGGUAAAACAGGGACAUGCGGAAUGUUAGGUGUAUAUAUAUAUAUAUAUAUAUAUAUAUAUAUAUCCACAGUUCCACACUACACUACUUAUAAAAAAAAAAAAAAUUAUUUUUAUUUUUUUUAAUAUUUAUUAAUAUUAUAUAUUGUCGGGUAGUCUUUAAAUAUCUUUUCUGUAGCUUCGCACUUUCUCACUUUAAAAUUCCAAUUAAGUACCCUGUAAUUUCAUUUUUUACUUUACGUCAGUCCUUUCGUUAACUUUUUGUUAAGCCGCAUAUAAAAAACUUCAUAUAUCUUAUCUGUAGUUUAUCGAAUAUUCACUUUAGUAUUUUUUAGUUUUAGUUUUGUCACUGACUUAACAAAAAAAAAAAUAGUAGAAAGAAUAGCAAAAGAAAAAAAAUAAAGCUAUAGAAUACGAAAGUGUUAUAUUUUAAACUAUAUGGUACUAAAAUAAGAAAGUACAAAACCAUAAUAGAAUGUAAUAACUAUCAUCUUUUACGCUUUGUGUCAUUUGUUAUCCGCAUAAAUUUUAUAACCCUCAGAUAUUUCUGCUAUAUAAAUAAUUUAGUAUUAUAUUUUAUAAAUUUAGGUCAUGAGAUCUCAUCCGUGAAUAAUAAAUAAAAUAUAUAUUAUAUUUAUUGACGAAAUUAUCUGUUCCAUAUCACUAUGCCGACGUUUUAGUAGCACAUGUUUUUUCGAUUUUCCGAAUUUCUUAUACUGCACUCACUAAAAAAUUUUCACUUUUUUUCAUCACUAUUUUCAUCCCUUAACCUUUCUGUUUCUCUCUCAAUACAGCUCGCCUUCCCUCUCCCUCUUUCUCUCUACUAGGGAUGCAAAUAGGUUUGGAUUGGUGGAGCUCUCGUCCUGACCUGUUCCGAACGGGACGGUAAGUGAGAAUAAAAAAUAUAAAAAUAUAAAAAUAUAUAAUCCGUCUAAUCCGUCUCGAAUCCGUCCUGAUCUGCCUCCAUCCACGAAGCAAAUGGAGUGGGAGACGAGAGAUUCUUUUCUUUCUUCAAUCCGUAUCAAUCUGGCAAAAAAAUUAUAAAAAAUCUGCUCGCACCACGAUCUGUCCUGAAUGAGACGGUAAGUGAAAGUUAAAAAUAAAAUAAAAAAUAACCCGUGCCGAAUUCGCCCCGCCCUGACAAAAAAUGGAGCGGGACCCCGGAUCUGCCCCGUCUGCCUUCCUACUCUCUACCAGCAGUUGGAGGUAUCCCAGCGCAUCUCUCCCUUCCCAUUGCACGCCCAACCUUUACAAGAAGAGAAGGUUUUGGCGAUCGAGUAAUAACAUAGAAGAAAAGAAAAUCAAAAUAUAAAUUUGUUUUGUUUUAAUUUUUUAGUUUAUUUAAUUUGAAACUUUGACGUUAAAGUUUAAGUUAAUCACUUAUUUUUAUUAAAUUAUAAUUAUGAAAAUUGAAUGAAGUGUAUUAAUUAAAUAUGUAAAAAUAAACGAUACAUUUAAAAUUUGAAGUCAAAGUGCAGUUGAUUAACUCAAAUCGAAUAAAUUGAAACGUUAGGUAGCCAAAUCAUAGUGGUCAGUAGUUUAGAUAAAUUUUGUAUAUUUUUACCUAUAUUAAAUUAAAUUGGAGCAAAUUAGAUUUUAUAAAUUCCAUCUGGUUAAUUUUAGUUUUUGAUUUGAUUUAUAUUUAAAAAUCUUGGUAAAAAUGUGUGAAAUUUACCUGAAUUAUCGACUAUUUUAAUUCGACUAUCCAAUCUUAAAAAAUCUUAAUUUUAUAUAUUUCUUUUUAAGUUUGAACCAUUUGAUGCAUGUUGUGUUACAAAGAGUAGGCGAAUCAUUUGUUUUAGUAAAAAUAUAAUCACAUAAGUUAUAUGCGAUAGUUUAAUUAGGUCUGCUAAAGUAAAUGCCACAUCAAAAUUUUGUAGCCAAAGAACAAUUAAAUGGCUCAAAUCAAAGAAAUUAAAAGAUUAGAUCAUAAAAUUAAAAUGAAUAAUAGUUCAGAUAACUUUCAUACAUUUUUUAUCCAAAAUCAUAAGCUAUAAGACAAAUUGAUAGCGAUAUUCAUGCGAAUUUGAAUUCGAAAUUUAUUAAAUUAUAUAUCUUAACAAGUUGAAACAAACUGGAUUCCUUUUUACUUUGAUUUUG
rnacentral:lncRNA from 1 species